CACAAUUAUAGUCCCAACAGUUCUAUCCAAGGGAGUAACUUCUUGAGCGUGUUUUCAUUUCGUCACAAUUUUUGAAAGUGAUCAUUUUUGUAAGCAUCAUACACGUAGCAGGACGAAAAGUCAUUUAGUAAGGAACUAGUUCAGCUGUAAAGAGAAUCUUUCAUAAACUUCCGGGGUUUUUUUUGUUUUGUUUUGAGGCAUAGGUAACAAGUUUAUUUGGUAAUCUGGCGUUUUUCUGUUGUAUAUUUUUAUGGGAGGAGAUUGCUAAUAUAGGGAGGUAAAAAUUGGGCUCAAGACUGAUGAGACAGGUGGUGGCCUAGGUUUUACAGUACAAACAUUCCACUAAUGACUUAAUAGUUAUAACUGUGCCAGUUUCUAUCUUGUAGCGAAAUUUAUAUGAUUUAUUUUCUUGUACAUCGUCACUUGACGACUUGAGUACAUUAUGGAAUUAGAGUUGUCUUCCUCAGGAGAAAAAGGAUUCAUCCAUAAUCUGUGUAGCUCGUUUUUGAGGUUUGUGGGAGGAAUGUUGAGGCUGGUAGGGUUCCAGCCUCCCCUGGCCCCCCCUUAAACAGCCCACUGUUGCCCACCCUGACCCCAGAUGGGCCAUGGAAGAGAUUUAGGACGGGCUAUGUUCUGGUUGCUGUGCCUUGUACUUUAGAGAGAGGGGGUGUAGGCUGCAAGCCAGAGACCUAGUUGGGGGGCAAGGAGAUUGACACCAGCUCUGAUUUGAACCAAAACAACUGUCUUUUUCUUUUGGCCAUUGGCCAGUCUUUGGGCAGAAGGGGAACAGAAAGUAUCUUCAGAUCUGUCGAAAAGAGGCUGCUGUAUUUUGCUUCUGUUAUUGUAAGGGAAUCGGAUGUUUAAAAGCCCCAAACCAUAAGAGAGAGGGCAACAAAAAGAAUUUAACAUAUUUAUUCUAACAAAACAAUAGCAUUCUGGUAAAACUACCUCUUUUCACUUGUCAGCCAGCCUACCAUUUACGACCUCCAGCGAAAGCGCGCCCGGUAGUUGGGUAGUUCGUCCUUGUAGAGAACCUUCAAAAAGACUUUUGCAUCUACGCUUUGUGUUUCAUCACCUCUAGGGAAAGUACUUGCUCAGGACCUCGCGGCUCUCCCAGCUACAGGGCUCGUGCUCUUAAAAACCGUUCAGCUGCAAAAUCAUGAAACAGCCCUGCCGGGGUCAGCUUUGUGCGUUUAUGGGGCGUUUCUCUUAAAGACACGAAACCCUGUAAAUUGGCAGAUUGUCUUCCAGCCCUUCCCCUUCAGGGGGCUUAAAGAAAAAUCCCGAGUAUCUGGGCACAGAGCGGGUAGUUGGAGAAAGCUCCCGGCUUGGGGAGCUGCUCUCCUGUGGCCCAGGUGCACAGAUCGAGUUUGCCCCCUUGGCUUGCUGCUGGGCCCGAAAAGAUUUUGACAGAUGCCAGAGUUUCGCAAACGCAGGAGUAGCGGUUCCAGAGGUGGCUUUGCAAGUCCCCCGGAACGGCCCUGCACAUCUCCUGUCACUCUGCACCCGAACGAGAGAGGGGACGGCAGGAGCUAUUUUGGUGUUCUCCUGGGAGCAAGAGAAAAGGGAGGCGGUACUUCGUACCAUGUAAUUUUAAAAAACAAAUCGGAUCCCAUUGAGAUUCUCCCUUGUUUACUUUUUGUUUUACUUUUGCUGUUUCCCAGUGUGUGUGUGACUAAUGUAAGCCUUCCCCCAGGAAUAGGAGAGUAUGUGGUACAGUCCGCCUCAUGGCCUCCCUGGAUAUUUUUAUAAUUUAUCAUCAGCUGACACCGCCUGGGUAGAAUAUUCUUACCACUCCCUCUGGCUGCUGGAAGUCUGAAAUUACAUCUUUGUCUUUGAAGUCGGGCAUACUGUUAGCGUCGCUAUGGCGACAGGGUGGGUAAUGGCGUCCACAGACAGGAGAUUGGUAUUUAGCGUUUAAACGCUGCUGUACACAGGGCCUUGAUUUUCAGAGUGGCUACCGAACUGUCCCCUUUUAGUAAAUGUUUAAAAAUUACAUUUUCACAUGGUCUUACUAGAUUAAUAGUCAUGGUUUAUUUCAUUUUAACUGCAAGGAUAAAAGCAUUAUUCCAUUAAAUGAGUAGCUUUUUUUCCCCCUCUUUUCGGUUUAUGCAUUAUUAACACUGGCUUUCCUGUUUUGCUUGUAACAUUUUAUAGGCUUUUUCGAACGUGCAGUCAGAUUUGCUCUGUUGCGCCAUUAUUUUUUGGACUUAACCCAUUACCAGCUUGAUCUUGCGCAAUUUCAGAGGCGACCAAGUUCUAAGGAAACUAAGCUUUUAAACUCCUAAAACGUGAAGUGUGUGUGUGUGUGUGUGUGUGAAUUGAACUUCAGCAGUAACUUCAUUUAAAACGUGUUUUGUUUGUCUCAAGUUUCUGUUCAGGGCCUCUCCGGUACCAGACCCUCCCAUGCCAGAUUAAGGGGAGGGCUUUGCAGUUCCUGGAGCUUGUGUUGACAGCAUCUUACUUGAUGCAGUCUCUUCGGUCUGAGACCCUUGACUCAAGUAGACAUGCGGUUUGCUUGGUUUUGUUUAUUUUGUCAUCAGAAUAACGUUGAAUCUAAAAAGUUUCUGUAAUAUAUGCAUGUCCCUCCCUACCUGAUACAUGAAUCGCCUCUAAAAUACUAUUUUGAAUGCCUUGUGAUGUGGAUCUCUCAACUGCAUGAAGUCUUUUAUUUCUAGUCAUUUAAAUUAGUAGGAGAUUCUUCCUUCUGUUAACUUGAAAUGUUUUCUUGGAUGGUGUUCUACUUCCGCCUUCUUAAA